rnacentral:rRNA from 1 species
AUUGAACGCUGGCGGCAGGCCUAACACAUGCAAGUCGAACGAGUGGCGGACGGGUGAGUAAUGUCUGGGAAACUGCCCGAUGGAGGGGGAUAACUACUGGAAACGGUAGCUAAUACCGCAUACCAUCGGAUGUGCCCAGAUGGGAUGAGCUAGUAGGUGGGGUAACGGAUCACCUAGGCGACGAUUCCUAGCUGGUCUGAGAGGAUGACCAGACACAGUGGAACGGAGACACGGUACAGAAUACUACGGGAGGCAGAAGUGGGAAAUAUUGCACAAAGGGCGCAAACCUGAUGCAGCCAUGCCGCGUGUAUGAAGAAGGCGUUCGGGUGGUAAAGUACUUUCAGCGAGGAGGCGUUGCUCGCAGAAGAAGCACCGGCUAACUCCGUGCCAGCAGCCGCGGUAAUUC